GGAGCGCAGGCAGGACGGACAGGGCGGCCGGGGCAGCGCAGGCAGCAGAAGUUUGAAAACCUCCGACACUUACCUGGCCGAGCGCGUCCCUGGCCGCUCCGGGGAGUCCCGCGCGAGGUGCAACCAUCACCAACAGUGUUUUGGUGUUUUUUGGUGUUUUUGGUUUUUUUUUGGAAAGCCCAAAAGCAAAGCGUCCCUUUCUUCAGGUGUGUAUAUAAGUUACUGUACUGUGUGGGAGGGUCACGAUCUCACUAGGUGCAGAAGAUUCCCCAGGAUUAACCCCUCCUCUCCCUACCCCUUCUGCAACUUGUUGAGGAUUUUAUACACACACGCGCGCAGGCACGGGCACACGGGCACACACACACACACACGGACGGGAGAGCAAGGAGAAAGCGAGCUCCGCGGAGUCCGGCUGCCCCCCGACGCCGUUGUGAUUGGAUGGUCUUUUCAUGGAGAGGGGACGUCUCAAGUCGAAGUCACGAUUUCUCCUCAGUUUGGAACCAUCUGUGACUGGAGCCAUGACGCAGCCAGAGCACAUUACUCACUUUUACAGUCACGACUUGGAAAUCCGUGCAGUUUCCAACCAAAAUUACACCGCCACCAUUGAAUUAUUUAAUAGGAUCCAGUUAAGGAUUAGAGCCAUUGCAUGCGGUCUUGGCCAGGAGGUGCUCUCACCCCAGCCCAGUGUACUGUGCUAUACUGAUGUUCAUGGCUGCACCAUGCCAUUGUCUGCAGGAUCCGCAAUUGUUGCUGGGCUUUGUGUGGUCUCAGUCUGCGGCUAAGCCCCCUUCCACGGCGGUUUCGGAGGGGAUACCAUUGUCCGGGAUAACGCGAUGUUGCAUGUGAGUGCCAGACGGUGUUUCCUCGUCUCUUUUAAUGCAAUCUGAUGACAUGCCUUUGCUAGCCGGAAUGCCUGCGAACCUGCAUGCUCGUAACCUAGCGAGAACUUCCCUGGCUCGCAGAAGCGGUGAGGGGGUGACCGGUGGUUGCAGCACCGAGGUAACCCUACAUAGCUGCUCCGUAUACACCACAACAAUCCCCUACUACUUCGCCUCUAAUUCAGUCAUUUCACCAACUCCGCUGUUGAGGGUAUGACUAAGGACGCGAAGGACGGGCAAUAAUAAAAACAGACGCUCGCACA
rnacentral:lncRNA from 1 species